AGUUAUUGAACUUGUUAAAGUAUUUGUUUUGAAAACAAAAAAAAAGAAGAAAAUCUUCUAAUAACUU
rnacentral:tRNA from 1 species